rnacentral:misc_RNA from 1 species
AUUAUUCGGAACAAUUCCGUAGAUUAUAGAGGCUCAUAUUUUAGUAAUACUAUUUGUCGUAAUCACUCCGUUGCAUUAAUCUAUCGCUGCUUGAGGAGUGUUAAAUUUUGCUAUUAUUUGUUUCCGAAACUUUCCUCAGUAUGCAAUUCCAUCAUCUCUCUAUAAAGUAGUGAUGUUUAUGUUUUUCCUUAUCAUUGUUUCUUGAAUUUUAUGCUUUAAUUUUG